CAGAGGGAGAGACAGAGGGAGAGGCAGAGGGAGAGGCAGAGGGAGAGGCAGAGGGAGAGGCAGAGGGAGAGGCAGAGGGAGAGGCAGAGGCAGAGGGAGAGAGAGAGAGACAGAGGGAGAGAGAGAGACAGAGGGAGAGAGAGAGAGACAGAGGGAGAGAGAGAGAGACAGAGGGAGAGAGAGAGAGACAGAGGGAGAGAGAGAGACCGAGGGAGAGAGAGAGACAGAGGGAGAGAGAGAGACAGAGGGAGAGAGAGAGACAGAGGGAGAGAGAGAGACCGAGGGAGAGAGAGACAGAGGGAGAGAGGGAGACAGAGAGGAGAGAGAGAGACAGCAGGAGAGUGAGAGACAGAGGGAGAGUGAGAGACAGAGGGAGAGAGAGAGACAGAGGGAGAGAGAGAGACAGCAGGAGAGUGAGAGACAGAGGGAGAGAGAGGAGAGAAGGAGAGAGAGGGAGAGAGAAGCAAGCGAGCUCUCAAGAGAAUGAGAGAGGGAGUGAAAGAGACAGGAAGAGGGAAGCUGUCAGGAGACUGAGACGUAGGAGGACAGUCCGAUACUGGUCCCAGACGACAACUAGAAUGUUCCUGACAUCUUAAGCUGGGAAGUUAUUCUAAAGUAGAACCACGGAACUGUGGACAUGGAUUCUAUUGUGAUCCUCAACACUCCUAAAUGGAACUCUAUUCCCUAUAUAGUACACUACUUUAUACCAGAGCCCUGUUCCCUAUAUAGUACACUACUUUAACCAGAGCCCUGUUCCCUAUAUAGUGCACUACUUUAACCAGAGCCCUAUUCCCUAUAUAGUGCACUACUUUAACCAGAGCCCUAUUUCCUAUAUAGUGCACUACUUUAACCAGAGCCCUAUUCCCUAUAUAGUGCACUACUUUAGACCAGAGCCCUAUUCCCUAUAUAGUACACUACUUUAGACCAGAGCCCUAUUCCCUAUAUAGUACACUACUUUAGACCAGAGCCCUAUUCCCUAUAUAGUGCAUUACUUUAUACCAGAGCCCUAUUCCCUAUAUAGUACACUACUUUAGACCAGAGCCCUAUUCCCUAUAUAGUACACUACUUUAGACCAGAGCCCUAUUCCC
rnacentral:lncRNA from 1 species